CGAUUAUGGAUGACUUUUGUAGUGAAGGCGAGAAGGAAAUUUGAAACUUGAUUCUCACUUUGAUCUUUCCUGCAAAUGUGCUUUGGAACUAAAUGCAGCUUUGGCAGAGAGAGAGAGAGAGGUAUAUCUAUAGAUCGCUCAAGGGUGGAUCCUUUGGAUAUUGCUUAUCUACCAGAGGCCGUGCAAAAAGUUCUAUUCAAGAACAACCUCUUUUGUGUACACCAACGAUAUUCAGUCGGGUCAAAAUGUAACAUUUUUCAGACAUACUUAAAUCACAUUAAAAUUUAAAGAAUUUUUUUUUUUUCUUCUUUCUUGGC
rnacentral:lncRNA from 1 species